AACGAACGCUGGCGGCAUGCCUAAUACAUGCAAGUCGAACGAGAAAGUCCGCAAGGAUGAGUAGAGUGGCGCACGGGUGAGUAACACGUAGGUGACCUGCCUUGUAGUUGGGGAUAACAGAGAGAAGUCUCUGCUAAUACCGGAUAAGAUGAGCAACUUUGGAAAGAGCUCAUGAAAGAUGGCCUCUUCACAAUGCUAUUGCUACAAGAAGGGCCUGCGGGCCAUUAGCUAGUUGGUGGGGUAAUGGCCUACCAAGGCGAUGAUGGCUAGCUGGUCUAAGAGGAUGAUCAGCCACACUGGAACUGAGACACGGUCCAGACUCCUACGGGAGGCAGCAGUAGGGAAUAUUGCGCAAUGGGGGCAACCCUGACGCAGCAAUGCCGCGUGAGUGAGGAAGGCCUUCGGGUUGUAAAGCUCUGUCCUUGGGGAAAAACGGUCUGUGAACUAAUAAUUCAUAGGAGUGAUGGUACCCGAGAAGAAAGCACCGGCUAACUUCGUGCCAGCAGCCGCCGUAA
rnacentral:rRNA from 1 species